rnacentral:rRNA from 1 species
GAUGAACGCUAGCGAUAGGCCUAACACAUGCAAGUCGAGGGGCAUCACAUGAAGUAGCAAUACGGAUGGUGGCGACCGGCGCACGGGUGAGUAACACGUAUGCAACCUGCCUUCAACAAGGGGAUAACCCGUUGAAAGACGGACUAAUACCCUAUAACACAGGGGUCCCGCAUGGGAAUAUUUGUUAAAGGACAACCGGUUGAAGAUGGGCAUGCGUUCCAUUAGCUAGUUGGCGGGGUAACGGCCCACCAAGGCAACGAUGGAUAGGGGAACUGAGAGGUUUAUCCCCCACACUGGUACUGAGACACGGACCAGACUCCUACGGGAGGCAGCAGUGAGGAAUAUUGGUCAAUGGACGCAAGUCUGAACCAGCCACGUCGCGUGAAGGAAGACGGCCCUACGGGUUGUAAACUUCUUUUAUACGGGAAUAAAGUGCCCCACGCGUGGGGUUUUGCAUGUACCGUAUGAAUAAGGAUCGGCUAACUCCGUGCCAGCAGCCGCGGUAAAUCACACUACAC